rnacentral:rRNA from 1 species
AGAGUUUUAUCCUGGCUCAGGAUGAACGCUAGCUACAGGCCUAACACAUGCAAGUCGAGGGGCAGCGGGGGCAGAGCUUGCUUUGCCUGCCGGCGACCGGCGCACGGGUGCGUAACGCGUAUCGAACCUCCCCCAUACUCGGGAAUAGCCUUGCGAAAGUAAGAUUAAUGCCCGAUGGUCUCAGAAUAUGACAUCAUGCUUUGAGUAAAGAUUCACCGCUAAGGGAUGGGGAUGCGUCUGAUUAGGUAGUCGGCGGGGUAACGGCCCACCGAGCCUGCGAUCAGUAGGGGUUCUGAGAGGAAGGUCCCCCACAUUGGAACUGAGACACGGUCCAAACUCCUACGGGAGGCAGCAGUGAGGAAUAUUGGUCAAUGGUCGAGAGACUGAACCAGCCAAGUAGCGUGCAGGACGACGGCCCUAUGGGUUGUAAACUGCUUUUAUAUGGGGAUAAAGUGCGGCACGUGUGCCGUUUUGUAGGUACCAUAUGAAUAAGGACCGGCUAAUUCCGUGCCAGCAGCCGCGGUAAUACGGAAGGUCCGGGGCGUUAUCCGGAUUUAUUGGGUUUAAAGGGAGCGCAGGCGGGCUUUUAAGCGUGACGUGAAAUGUGGAUGCUCAACAUCCGAACUGCGUCGCGAACUGGAGGCCUUGAGUGAGUACGACGUGGACGGAAUUCGUGGUGUAGCGGUGAAAUGCUUAGAUAUCACGAAGAACCCCGAUUGCGAAGGCAGUCCACGAGUCCUUUACUGACGCUAAAGCUCGAAAGUGCGGGUAUCGAACAGGAUUAGAUACCCUGGUAGUCCGCACGGUAAACGAUGGAUGCCCGCUGUUUGCGACAUACUGUAAGCGGCCAAGAGAAAUCGUUAAGCAUCCCACCUGGGGAGUACGCCGGCAACGGUGAAACUCAAAGGAAUUGACGGGGGCCCGCACAAGCGGAGGAACAUGUGGUUUAAUUCGAUGAUACGCGAGGAACCUUACCCGGGCUUGAACUGCAGCGGAAGGAUACAGAGAUGUUGACGCCCUUCGGGGCCGCUGUGGAGGUGCUGCAUGGUUGUCGUCAGCUCGUGCCGUGAGGUGUCGGCUCAAGUGCCAUAACGAGCGCAACCCCUUUCGUCAGUUGCCAUCAGGUCAAGCUGGGCACUCUGGCGACACUGCCACCGUAAGGUGUGAGGAAGGUGGGGAUGACGUCAAAUCAGCACGGCCCUUACGUCCGGGGCUACACACGUGUUACAAUGGGUGGUACAGAGAGUCGGCCGCUGGCAAUGGCGGUCCAAUCAUCAAAGCCAUCCUCAGUUCGGAUUGGGGUCUGCAACCCGACCCCAUGAAGCUGGAUUCGCUAGUAAUCGCGCAUCAGCCAUGGCGCGGUGAAUACGUUCCCGGGCCUUGCACACACCGCCCGUCA